CUUCAACGACCCCAGCCACACCGGCUCCCCGGCCGAACGCCCCUGACCGUACGUCGCCAACAACGCCUGCGCCUC
rfam:Streptomyces albus subsp. albus strain NRRL B-2513 B2513contig6014.1, whole genome shotgun sequence.